rnacentral:rRNA from 1 species
UACGGGGGGAGCAAGCGUUGUUCGGAUUUACUGGGCGUAAAGGGCGCGUAGGCGGCCACCGCAAGUCGACUGUGAAAUCUCCGGGCUUAACCCGGAAAGGUCAGCCGAUACUGCGGGGCUAGAGUGCAGAAGGGGCAACUGGAAUUCUCGGUGUAGCGGUGAAAUGCGUAGAUAUCGGGAGGAAUACCAGUGGCGAAGGCGGCUUCUUGGCCUGUUCUUGACGCUGAGGCGCGAAAGCUGGGGGAGCAAACGGG